GUCUACAGCCAUGCCACCCUGAACAAGCCCAAUGCCGUCUGAUUUCAGAAGCUAUGCAGGGUUGGGCCUGGUUAGUACUUGGAUGGGAGACCACCAGGGAAGACUAGGUACUGUAAGCA
rnacentral:rRNA from 1 species